GGGUUGUGAGGUUAAGCGACCAAGCGUACACGGUGGAUGCCCUGGCAGUCAGAGGCGAUGAAGGACGUGCUAAUCUGCGAAAAGCGCCGGCGAGGUGAUAUGAACCCUUGACCCGGCGAUGUCCGAAUGGGGAAACCCAGUGUGAUUCGUCACACUAUCGUUAGCUGAAUACAUAGGUUAACGAGGCGAACCGGGGGAACUGAAACAUCUAAGUACCCCGAGGAAAAGAAAUCAACCGAGAUUCCCCCAGUAGCGGCGAGCGAACGGGGAGGAGCCCAGAGCCUGAAUCAGCUUGUGUGUUAGUGGAAGCGUCUGGAAAGUCGCACGGUACAGGGUGAAAGUCCCGUACACGAAAAUGCACAGGCUGUGAGCUCGAUGAGUAGGGCGGGACACGUGGUAUCCUGUCUGAAUAUGGGGGGACCAUCCUCCAAGGCUAAAUACUCCUGACUGACCGAUAGUGAACCAGUACCGUGAGGGAAAGGCGAAAAGAACCCCGGCGAGGGGAGUGAAAAAGAACCUGAAACCGUGUACGUACAAGCAGUGGGAGCCUCUUUAUGGGGUGACUGCGUACCUUUUGUAUAAUGGGUCAGCGACUUAUAUUCUGUAGCAAGGUUAACCGUAUAGGGGAGCCGAAGGGAAACCGAGUCUUAACUGGGCGUUAAGUUGCAGGGUAUAGACCCGAAACCCGGUGAUCUAGCCAUGGGCAGGUUGAAGGUUGGGUAACACUAACUGGAGGACCGAACCGACUAAUGUUGAAAAAUUAGCGGAUGACCUGUGGCUGGGGGUGAAAGGCCAAUCAAACCGGGAGAUAGCUGGUUCUCCCCGAAAGCUAUUUAGGUAGCGCCUCGUGAACUCAUCUCCGGGGGUAGAGCACUGUUUCGGCUAGGGGGCCAUCCCGGCUUACCAACCCGAUGCAAACUGCGAAUACCGGAGAAUGUUAUCACGGGAGACACACGGCGGGUGCUAACGUCCGUCGUGAAGAGGGAAACAACCCAGACCGCCAGCUAAGGUCCCAAAGUCAUGGUUAAGUGGGAAACGAUGUGGGAAGGCCCAGACAGCCAGGAUGUUGGCUUAGAAGCAGCCAUCAUUUAAAGAAAGCGUAAUAGCUCACUGGUCGAGUCGGCCUGCGCGGAAGAUGUAACGGGGCUAAACCAUGCACCGAAGCUGCGGCAGCGACACUUAGGUGUUGUUGGGUAGGGGAGCGUUCUGUAAGCCGUUGAAGGUGUGCUGUGAGGCAUGCUGGAGGUAUCAGAAGUGCGAAUGCUGACAUAAGUAACGAUAAAGCGGGUGAAAAGCCCGCUCGCCGGAAGACCAAGGGUUCCUGUCCAACGUUAAUCGGGGCAGGGUGAGUCGACCCCUAAGGCGAGGCCGAAAGGCGUAGUCGAUGGGAAACAGGUUAAUAUUCCUGUACUUGGUGUUACUGCGAAGGGGGGACGGAGAAGGCUAUGUCGGCCGGGCGACGGUUGUCCCGGUUUAAGCAUGUAGGCGGAGGUUCCAGGUAAAUCCGGUACCUUAUUAAACGCUGAGGUGUGAUGACGAGGCACUACGGUGCUGAAGUGACAAAUGCCCUGCUUCCAGGAAAAGCCUCUAAGCAUCAGGUAACACGAAAUCGUACCCCAAACCGACACAGGUGGUCAGGUAGAGAAUACCAAGGCGCUUGAGAGAACUCGGGUGAAGGAACUAGGCAAAAUGGUGCCGUAACUUCGGGAGAAGGCACGCUGAUAUGUAGGUGAAGUGAUUUACUCAUGGAGCUGAAAUCAGUCGAAGAUACCAGCUGGCUGCAACUGUUUAUUAAAAACACAGCACUGUGCAAACACGAAAGUGGACGUAUACGGUGUGACGCCUGCCCGGUGCCGGAAGGUUAAUUGAUGGGGUUAUCCCUCGGGAGAAGCUCUUGAUCGAAGCCCCGGUAAACGGCGGCCGUAACUAUAACGGUCCUAAGGUAGCGAAAUUCCUUGUCGGGUAAGUUCCGACCUGCACGAAUGGCGUAAUGAUGGCCAGGCUGUCUCCACCCGAGACUCAGUGAAAUUGAACUCGCUGUGAAGAUGCAGUGUACCCGCGGCAAGACGGAAAGACCCCGUGAACCUUUACUAUAGCUUGACACUGAACACUGGUCCUUGAUGUGUAGGAUAGGUGGGAGGCUUUGAAGUGCGGACGCCAGUCUGCAUGGAGCCGCCCUUGAAAUACCACCCUUUAAUGGCUGGUGUUCUAACGUGGGCCCGUAAUCCGGGUUGCGGACAGUGUCUGGUGGGUAGUUUGACUGGGGCGGUCUCCUCCUAAAGAGUAACGGAGGAGCACGAAGGUCAGCUAAUCCUGGUCGGACAUCAGGAGGUUAGUGCAAUGGCAUAAGCUGGCUUGACUGCGAGCGUGACGGCGCGAGCAGGUGCGAAAGCAGGUCAUAGUGAUCCGGUGGUUCUGAAUGGAAGGGCCAUCGCUCAACGGAUAAAAGGUACUCCGGGGAUAACAGGCUGAUACCGCCCAAGAGUUCAUAUCGACGGCGGUGUUUGGCACCUCGAUGUCGGCUCAUCACAUCCUGGGGCUGAAGUAGGUCCCAAGGGUAUGGCUGUUCGCCAUUUAAAGUGGUACGCGAGCUGGGUUUAGAACGUCGUGAGACAGUUCGGUCCCUAUCUGCCGUGGGCGCUGGAGAACUGAGGGGGGCUGCUCCUAGUACGAGAGGACCGGAGUGGACGCAUCACUGGUGUUCGGGUUGUCAUGCCAAUGGCACUGCCCGGUAGCUAAAUGCGGAAGAGAUAAGUGCUGAAAGCAUCUAAGCACGAAACUUGCCCCGAGAUGAGUUCUCCCUGACUCCUUGAGAGUCCUGAAGGAACGUUGAAGACGACGACGUUGAUAGGCCGGGUGUGUAAGCGCAGCGAUGCGUUGAGCUAACCGGUACUAAUGAACCGUGAGGCUUAACCUUACAACGCCGAAG
rnacentral:rRNA from 1 species